GACGAACGCUGGCGGCGUGCUUAACACAUGCAAGUCGAACGGAAAGGCCCUGCUUUUGUGGGGUGCUCGAGUGGCGAACGGGUGAGUAACACGUGAGUAACCUGCCCUUGACUUUGGGAUAACUACAGGAAACUGGGGCUAAUACCGGAUAGGAGCUCCUGCUGCAUGGUGGGGGUUGGAAAGUUUCGGCGGUUGGGGAUGGACUCGCGGCUUAUCAGCUUGUUGGUGGGGUAGUGGCUUACCAAGGCUUUGACGGGUAGCCGGCCUGAGAGGGUGACCGGCCACAUUGGGACUGAGAUACGGCCCAGACUCCUACGGGAGGCAGCAGUGGGGAAUAUUGCACAAUGGGCGGAAGCCUGAUGCAGCAACGCCGCGUGCGGGAUGACGGCCUUCGGGUUGUAAACCGCUUUCGCCUGUGACGAAGCGUGAGUGACGGUAAUGGGUAAAGAAGCACCGGCUAACUACGUG
rnacentral:rRNA from 1 species